UAACCGUUGGUUCCAAGUUAAGCUUGUGGCUCCACCACAAUUUUAGAAUUUUUCCAAUUCCUUUUCCCAGAUUUCCCUUCCUACGCCCUUUGUAAAUAUUCCCCAAUAUACUUCGGGUCAGAUACUCGCAGUUGGAUUUGUGAGCGAAUGAGUGGCUAUAUAUUUUCUGUCAUUUUGUGAGUGUUGCUUGAUGUCGAGCAGUUUGAGAAUCGGGGCAAAAGAUUACCUCGCCCUUUUUGUACCCGCCGACAGAUGGAGCACACCACAGUUAUGCAUUAGGGUGGGACGAAAAACGAGAAACAUAAAUGUUUAUUAUAAAAAAUUAUGUUAAACAAUUGUACCGUAUCCUAUAAAAACCCCAGGCUUCAAAGCAGACAUUCUCUUUUUGCUGCGAAUACCGGGACGUUUAGUAGUGCGCGCGUGUGUAGUUUUUGUUAGAAAAAUUUCGAGUGGUUUAGUCGUUUAGCCAUGCAAGUUAAAUAGUUAAUUGUUAGUACGUUAAAAAGGUGUUAGUACGGCAACGAAGACAAUGGUUCUUAAUCGUUAAAAUGCGAAACAAACAAGCAAGCAAACAACCAGUGUACAAAGAACAUCGCAUAUAAAACAACAAGAAAAGGUAAUUAAGUGGUUAAAAUUGUGAACAAGAAGAAUGUUGAGGUUUGUGCUGAGGACAGUGCGAAAUUCUAAUCUGUGAUGGUUAGGUCCAAGCAUUUGGGCCUUUUCUUUUUAUUUGUGGCCUUUCUUCGCCAGAAAAAGGUCAAAACCACGACAGCGCACCCCCCCCCCCCCCCUCCCCCAGUGAAGUGCAGCAAAAACCCGCCAUUGCACCCGCAAAUACACGCAAUAGGCCGGCGGACAUCUCAAACCGCCAUCUCAUCGAGCGAACCAAGUCGGAGGACGCCAAUGAGCCCGACAUCGGUUCCCAAACUAGUCCAUCACCAGUCAUCAGAUGAGCGGCCUGAUCACCCGCUCGUCCAUCCCCGCAGCUCCGUCCAACCAGCAACCACCAGCAGCAGUUCCCAAUCUGCCCACAACCUCCACUAAAAACCGCAAGUAAAACCACAAAACCAUAAAGAAAUGUGACGUCACAAUAAAAUUGUAUAUAGUAAUUGUAAAUAGAUUGCCUGUCCUUUUAAAGAGUAUAUUUCUGUUUAAUAGCAUUUCCACUGCUUUUUGUAUUUUGUUCGUCUUUCCGGGUUCGAAAGGAACCGCCAAGCCUCGACGUCCCAGUACUCCUCCAUUUUGUUGAAUUUUGUGUUUGAGUCUGGUGCGGUUUCAUUUUGUUCCAUCUCUUGUUCCUUUUUGUGUGUUCCCUUUGUUCACCAUCGUAAUUAUAUCAGUGCUCCUGUUCACCUCAGCACCUCCACUUGACGGUAAAGAUAAGCCCCAAAAUCACGCUCAACGACCCUGAAGAUCCCUUACCACCCCAAUCCCAGAGCUGCAAGG